GAUGAACGCUAGCGGCAGGCCUAACACAUGCAAGUCGAGCGAGAAGCCCUUUCGGGGGCCGAAACCGGCGCACGGGUGCGUAACGCGUAUGCAACCUACCUUUCACAGGGGGAUAGCCCGAAGAAAUUUGGAUUAAUACCCCAUCAUAUUAUUGGAUGGCAUCAUUUGAUAAUUAAAACUGCGGUGGUGAAAGAUGGGCAUGCGUCCUAUUAGCUCGUUGGAGUGGUAACGGCACCCCAAGGCUACGAUAGGUAGGGGUCCUGAGAGGGAGAUCCCCCACACUGGGACUGAGACAGGGACCAGACUCCUACGGGAGGCAGCAGUGAGGAAGAUAGGUCAAUGGUAGGUAGACUGAACCAGCCAUGCCGCGUGCAGGAAGAAUGCGUUAUGGGUGGUAAACUGCUGUUAUAUGGGAAGAAUAAGGCGUACGUGUACGUUGAUGACGGUACCAGAUGAAUAAGCAUCGGCUAACUCCGUG
rnacentral:rRNA from 1 species